GCUCAGAUUGAACGCUGGCGGCAGGCCUAACACAUGCAAGUCGAGCGGAUGAAAGGAGCUUGCUCCUGGAUUCAGCGGCGGACGGGUGAGUAAUGCCUAGGAAUCUGCCUGGUAGUGGGGGACAACGUUUCGAAAGGAACGCUAAUACCGCAUACGUCCUACGGGAGAAAGCAGGGGACCUUCGGGCCUUGCGCUAUCAGAUGAGCCUAGGUCGGAUUAGCUAGUUGGUGAGGUAAUGGCUCACCAAGGCGACGAUCCGUAACUGGUCUGAGAGGAUGAUCAGUCACACUGGAACUGAGACACGGUCCAGACUCCUACGGGAGGCAGCAGUGGGGAAUAUUGGACAAUGGGCGAAAGCCUGAUCCAGCCAUGCCGCGUGUGUGAAGAAGGUCUUCGGAUUGUAAAGCACUUUAAGUUGGGAGGAAGGGUUGUAGAUUAAUACUCUGCAAUUUUGACGUUACCGACAGAAUAAGCACCGGCUAACUCUGUGCCAGCAGCCGCGGUAAUACAGAGGGUGCAAGCGUUAAUCGGAAUUACUGGGCGUAAAGCGCGCGUAGGUGGUUCGUUAAGUUGGAUGUGAAAUCCCCGGGCUCAACCUGGGAACUGCAUUCAAAACUGUCGAGCUAGAGUAUGGUAGAGGGUGGUGGAAUUUCCUGUGUAGCGGUGAAAUGCGUAGAUAUAGGAAGGAACACCAGUGGCGAAGGCGACCACCUGGACNG
rnacentral:rRNA from 1 species